GACGCGCAGGCUCAGCGGCCAUGGCUCACGGGCCUAGCCACUCCGCGGCAUGUGGGAUCUUCCCGGACCGGGCCACUAACCCGUGUCCUCUGCAUCGGCAGGCGGACUCUCAACCACUGUGCCACCAGGGAAGCCCCACCACUGGCUAUUUUUAGAGAAUUUAAGGCCCACUGGUGAACUUCAGCACUCUUCCUUGAAGAAAAUCAGCAUCAUUCUGCAAAGACCUCUGGCAUAGGAGCCAGAAGAACUGGACUAAAAACUAGCUUCUCACCAUCUGUGUACACACUGGCUACUCCCAGCUCCAAAGGUGCCUCUUCUGUACUCUCUUCCUGAACUUGAGUCAACUCAAAACUGCAGAGGUCUCCCUCGCCCUGCCUCCACCCGCGAACCUCCCAACCAACCUGUAGGGCGCGUCAACCUCUGAGUACUAGUGGGGACAGCGGUGGCUGGCCAGAAAACGGAUUUGCUCACCAACCUGGAAUCUGUAUCUUGGAUCAGAGCCGAGGAUUUACAGCUGCCGCAGCCUCCACCAAAGCAGAAAGGCGUCCUUAUGAAUACAUGCAAAGCUUAUAAAGCCCUGGGCAGCUUAACUAUAGAGUUUCAAUAGCACGGCACCUCUGAGAAG